AGCCUUUGUGUUGCCCAUUCACUUUUAGAAACUAGUUAAUGUGGUGUCAGAAAAGGUAUAAACUAAACACUUUGCAGCCCUUUCCUUCCCUUGAAUUUGAUGUCUUUGGUAUAAGAGCAGCAUAAGUAACAGUU